rnacentral:lncRNA from 1 species
AUUUCCUUCAUUUACAUUUCAAAUGCUAUCCCAAAAGUCCCCCAGACCCUCCUGCAGAGAAAGAGAGCAAACCUGAUCAACAGCCCUAGAUGGUAACCCAGUCAUUCCAUCAAGGACCUCCAUACAUCCUUGGCAACAUCUGUACAUCAGUGUUUAGUGCCCUCUGGUGUUUGCAAAGAGACAGUGUACUACUGUCUGGUUUUGCGUGUCAACUUGCCACAAGCUGGAGUUAUCAGAAAGGAGCCUGCAUUGAGAAAAUGCCCCCAUGAGAUCCAGCUAUAAGGCUUCAGUUUUCCCAUCUGUAUGCUGAACGCAGCUCCUCACUCAGGAACUCGGACUCUCGUUGAGGUAGCAGAGAUACUGACACAUGUCAAACAACAGCCCCUGAGGUUCUAACCUAUAGGUUAAUGUGGUUAAGGUAGAGUUGGG